GAUUGGGAGAACGACUAAGAUGACGGCGUGUGUCUUACUUUUUUUGAUGGCGAUGACGCUCCCGAGUUAACUUUUUUCCACCUGUAAAACCAGUGGGAAUGGGGCGUUAGUCUACUCAAGGGAGACGCUUCUGUCGCUGCGAUGAUGCUGAGAUGCAGCUGGUCUUUCCCGAUCACUAACUGAAAGUUUGCUGGAGGGUAUGAGAACUCGAUAUCUGCAGCGACCUGAGUAAUGUGAGGUCGCUUAGGAAUAAAAUGGAUGAACUUCGAACUUUAACAAGAGGAUGCUUCGAGUACCUCUUUCAUGAUCCAGAUGGAGCCGGGGAGAGUUGUUCUGAUGUAUCAGAGAGGAUCAUAAUGAGAUGAGAUAAAAAUGGAGAGUAGAAAUUAAAUAAUGCAGAAAGCACAGACAAGCAACAAACAAGAAUACAGAGAGAAAAACGGAGCCCAGAAAUGAGACUCAAACCAGUGAAACACAAGAGAAAAGCAGACAGACACUAGUUAGAUGUGACAGUAUGUAAAUCCAAACUUCUCACAUGAUCCAGAUGAACCUGUAUAGUUUUAUACAGAUGUUCUCAAGAACACACAACAUCAGUGACCUCCAGAUACCAGCAGCUGAAGACCUGAACAACAUAACAGACUCCAUCCAUCCACACUAGCUUCUGGACUCUUUUAUGGACACAUCUGAUCACAUUUCUCAAAAACCCAGCAAGAAUCACGCAGAAACACAAAAAUGCAAACACAUAAAUGGUAAAAAAUGACUAUAUCUUGGGUUUUCUCAACAACCCAGCUUGCUGGGUUAAAAUGUGUAAACCCAGCACGUGGUCUGUCCAAUAUUUACCCAGCGCUGGGUUGCCAAUCGGGUUAUUUUUAACCCAGCCGUUUUUAGAGUGCAGUGACAUUGUGGUCACAGAGCUGUUGAACUGCAAAACAAGCAGCCAAUCAAAGUAGUCUACACACUACAAAACCACGCCCCUCACCGUUUUGGCAUGUGUCCUGUUCUUAGAAUUGAAGCCUUUGCUGUUUGCAGAGUAUCAGAGUAUUAUUUUGUUUUUCACAGAAUCUCAGAGUCUUCCAAUUCUUGGAAUCAAAGCGCUUUUCCUGUUUUCCUGUAUAAUUUGUAUCUUCUCACUAUAUAAAAAUCCCCCUGAAGCUCAGACGGCACAACAUCAACAGAGAUCUCAGAGUUGUGAUGGAUGUUUCUUCUCUUCAGCUCAACACAAGCCUGUGUGACGCGUGUCCAGAGCCCUCAUCAGCGUCGCCCUGGAAACGGAGGAGGAACACCUGCACGCAAUCAGCACGGGCUGGCCGGUCACAGCUGAACCUAAUCAAGAGGCAGCUACAAAGGCCGCCAAGUCGCACACACUGGUGAGACAUGUCUCCUGAAGACCGUCCACUAACAGACCUAUUCCUUGCUUUCCAGAGAGCAGUGUGUGACCGCCCAGCCAGGACGCAUGAGCACCGCACGGACACCCAGCACUCGAGCACUUGGAUUAACGGCAAAAGCGGGUCUCGCAGCACUGUUCCACCACACCAGGACACAUUGGCACGCCACCAUUUCACAAUAAAUGCACCCUUCGGGGCAUUUAUUGAACUAUUCUUGUCGUGUGAUUCUUCAGCCCAUUACACUGGUGGAGAAUGCGGGCAGGUUCCUGAAGAGUCACUGACAAGCGUCCUUUUUUUUUUUU